GCGGGUGUGCCAGAGUGGUCAAAUGGGCAGGACUUAAGAUCCUGUGGCUUAGUGCCUUCGAAGGUUCGAAUCCUUUCACCCGCA
rnacentral:tRNA from 1 species